GACCUCCAGAACUCACGUAGGAAAAAAAAUGACUCCCACAAGUUGUCCUUUGACUUUUACACAUAUCAUUCAUGGUAAGUACGUAAACACAUAUACUCACUCUCUUUUUCUCUCUGUCUCUCUCUCUCUCACUCUCACAGGUCAGGCAGGAGUGAGACCCUAUCUUAAAAAAUCCAUAUAUAUAUGUAUGUAUGUAUAUAUGUAUGUAUAUUGAAAAAAAAGGGCUUAAAAUGCAGUUUAACUUGGAGUGUUUGUUUUUUGAGCCAUGUAGCCCUGGCUAUCUUGGAACUCUAUGGACCAGGUUGGCCUGAAACACAGAGAUUCACCUGCUUCUGCCUACCGGGUGCUGAGAUUAAAGGAGUGCACCACUCCAUUCAGUCUAACUUUGGUUUUUUAAAGACUUCUUACAUUUGUGAUUUUGUAAUAUUUAACAGGUUUUCGGUUAUUGUUUGCCAACCUGUUUGAGGCAGGCUUAUGUACCCCAGGCUGUCCUGGAACUCACUCUGUAGCCUAGGAUGUUCUUGACCUUCUGAACCUGUUGCCUAACCUCUCAGAUGCUGGGAUUACAGGCCUGUGCCACCACACACGGGUUAUAGGUGCUGGGGACUGAACCCAGGGCUUUUCAGUUCUGAGCAAACACUAGCAACUGAGCUAUACCUCAAACCCUAUUUGAUGUACUUUGAUAACACUAUUUAAACUUGUAAAAACUAAAAAUGCUUGAGAAA
rnacentral:lncRNA from 1 species